rfam:Erinaceus europaeus unplaced genomic scaffold scaffold00061, whole genome shotgun sequence
AGAUGUGAAGGCAAUCUGGCUGUGACAUCUGUCACCCCACUGAUCACCAGAAUUGGCCCAGCUGAUUUGGCUGGCUAGGCAGCUGUCCCUUUCCUCUCUCACUGAUCCAUAUGUGUCCCUCCAGAAGCUCUCAGUGGAAGAACAGGUGUCCAGUCAAAGGUAUAUGAGCAGCUGUGUUCCCCUUCUAAAACCGCCAAACAAGCUCUCAAGAAAGAUGAACCCCCCCAUCAUACUGCCUUUCAUAUAUAACUUCGAGUUGAAAUGAAAAAAGUUAGACUUUCCAUAUAU